UGGGGAAUUUUUCGCAAUGGGGGAAACCCUGACGAAGCAACGCCGCGUGGAGGAUGAAGGCCUUCGGGUCGUAAACUCCUGUCGACCGGGACGAACGUAGUCCGACCCAAUACGUCGGGCUAUCGACUGUACCGGUAGAGGAAGCCACGGCUAACUCUGUGCCAGCAGCCGCGGUAAUACAGAGGUGGCAAGCGUUGUUCGGAAUUACUGGGCGUAAAGGGCGCGUAGGCGGUUCGUUAAGUCCUGUGUGAAAUCCCCCGGAUCAACUGGGGAAUGGCACAGGAAACUAGCGGGCUUGAGUUCGGGAGAGGGAAGCGGAAUUCCGGGUGUAGCGGUGAAAUGCGUAGAUAUCCGGAGGAACACCGGUGGCGAAGGCGGCUUCCUGGACCGACACUGACGCUGAGGCGCGAAAGCUAGGGGAGCAAACGGG
rnacentral:rRNA from 1 species